rnacentral:tRNA from 1 species
AGUCUUGUGGCGCAGUGGUAGCGCGUUCGCUUUACACGCGAAAGGUCCACGGUUCGAAACCGUGUAAGACUA